GUAGGGUGCGAGCGUUAAUCGGAAUUACUGGGCGUAAAGCGUGCGCAGGCGGUUGUGUAAGUCAGAUGUGAAAUCCCCGGGCUCAACCUGGGAACUGCGUUUGAGACUGCACGGCUAGAGUUUGGCAGAGGGGGGUGGAAUUCCACGUGUAGCAGUGAAAUGCGUAGAGAUAUGGAGGAACACCGAUGGCGAAGGCAGCCCCCUGGGCCAAUACUGACGCUCAUGCACGAAAGCGUGGGGAGCAAACAGGAUUAGAUACCCUGGUAGUCCACGCCCUAAACGAUGUCAACUAGGUGUUGGAAGGGUUAAACCUUUUAGUGCCGUAGCUAACGCGUGAAGUUGACCGCCUGGGGAGUACGGCCGCAAGGCUA
rnacentral:rRNA from 1 species